rnacentral:rRNA from 1 species
AUUGAACGCUGGCGGCAUGCCUUACACAUGCAAGUCGAACGGCAGCACGGGAGCAAUCCUGGUGGCGAGUGGCGAACGGGUGAGUAAUACAUCGGAACGUGCCCAAUCGUGGGGGAUAACGCAGCGAAAGCUGUGCUAAUACCGCAUACGAUCUACGGAUGAAAGCAGGGGAUCGCAAGACCUUGCGCGAAUGGAGCGGCCGAUGGCAGAUUAGGUAGUUGGUGAGGUAAAGGCUCACCAAGCCGUCGAUCUGUAGCUGGUCUGAGAGGACGACCAGCCACACUGGGACUGAGACACGGCCCAGACUCCUACGGGAGGCAGCAGUGGGGAUAUUGCACAAUGGGCGCAAGCCUGAUGCAGCGACGCCGCGCGGGGGAUGGAGGCUUUCGGGUUGUAAACCCCUUUCGGCGCGGGACAAGGCUCCGUUUGGCGGGGUUGAGGGUACGCGUCAAAGAAGCGCCGGCUAACUACGUGCCAGCAGCCGCGGUAAUACGUAGGGCGCGAGCGUUGUCCGGAAUUAUUGGGCGUAAAGGGCUCGUAGGCGGCUUGUCGCGUCUGCUGUGAAAACGCGGGGCUCAACUCCGCGCGUGCAGUGGGUACGGGCAGGCUGGAGUGCGGCAGGGGUGGCUGGAAUUCCUGGUGUAGCGGUGGAAUGCGCAGAUAUCAUGAAGAACACCGAUGGCGAAAGCAGGCCACUGGGCCGUCACUGACGCUGAGGAGCGAAAGCGUGGGGAGCGAACAGG